UAAUGUAUGGGAGUCUGCCCGAUAGAGGGGGAUAACUACUGGAAACGGUGGCUAAUACCGCAUAAUGUCUACGGACCAAAGCAGGGGCUCUUCGGACCUUGCACUAUCGGAUGAACCCAUAUGGGAUUAGCUAGUAGGUGGGGUAAAGGCUCAACUAGGCGACGAUCUCUAGCUGGUCUGAGAGGAUGAUCAGCCACACUGGGACUGAGACACGGCCCAG
rnacentral:rRNA from 1 species